rnacentral:tRNA from 1 species
GGACAGUUGGCCGAGCGGCUUAAGGCGCACGCCUGGAACGCGUGUAAACGGUUUUCCCGUUUCUAGGGUUCAAAUCCCUAACUGUCCG